CAAGACCCACGCCGGCCGCUCCAGCUCCAAGAACCGAGCCGACCUCCCCCUCCCCCACUGCCUCGCCCCCCGCCCACGCCCCGCCGCACGCCAAGCCAUCGCCCCCUCCCUCGGCCGGCCACCGCCCGCAGCUGCCGACGCCGGCCACGGCCGUCGACCCGGCCAACCAGCACGGCAGGAGCCCCAACAAGUCCUCCACGCAGUCCGCCGGGGAGCGGGGCAAGGCCUCCGCCACGCCGAGCAACAACGGGGGGGCCAGCAACAGCGUCGUCAUCGCCGUCGGCGCCGUGCUCGCCUUCCUGGUGGUCACCCUCAUAGCGGCCGCCGUUCUCUACACCAAGAAGCGCCGGAGGGGGAGGGACGACUACCGCCCCGGGUUCAGGUCGCCGCCGUACUCUUCUUCAGAGCUACCACCCUCAGGUUCAGUUCCUUCGGGCGGCGGCUCGGCGAACGCGGCAAUGUUGUCGUCGGCCGACCCCUCCGUCCACACCAACUACAGCGCCGGGAGCCCGAGACUGAAAGCGUGCCUGUCCGACAUGAGCGUGGGCAACUCGCGCUUCUUCACGUACCAAGAAAUGUACCAGAUCACCGACGGCUUCUCGCCGCGCAAUUUGCUCGGCCAAGGAGGGUUCGGGUCGGUGUACAAGGGCCGGCUGCCCGAAGGGAAAGACGUGGCUGUCAAGCAGCUGAGGGAUGGCAGUGGGCAAGGGGAGCGCGAGUUCCAAGCCGAGGUGGAGAUAAUCAGUCGGGUGCAUCACCGGCAUUUGGUGUCUCUCGUGGGGUACUGCAUUGACAAUAGCCAAAGGCUGCUCGUCUACGAUUUCGUGUCGAAUGACACCCUGCAUUAUCAUCUCCACGGACAGGGAAGGCCUGUUUUAGAGUGGUCGGCUAGGGUUAAAAUUGCUGCCGGUGCUGCUCGUGGAAUAGCAUACCUGCAUGAAGAUUGCCAUCCAAGGAUAAUCCACCGAGACAUCAAAUCCUCAAACAUUUUGUUGGAUAAUAACUUUGACGCACUGGUGGCCGAUUUUGGUCUUGCAAGACUGGCUUUGGAUGCUGUAACACAUGUAACUACACGGGUUAUGGGGACAUUUGGAUACAUGGCUCCAGAGUAUGCAUCGAGUGGCAAAUUGACUGAGAAAUCUGAUGUGUUCUCUUUUGGUGUUGUACUUUUAGAGCUUAUGACUGGUCGAAAGCCUGUUGAUUCAUCCAGACCAUUGGGUGAUGAGAGCCUUGUUGAGUGGGCUAGACCAUUGCUUAGUCGAGCUCUUGAGACGGGAAAGCUGGAAGGGUUAGUCGACCCCAGGCUUGAGAGGAAUUUCAAUGAGGUCGAAAUGUUCCGUAUGAUUGAGUCUGCAGCAGCCUGCAUUCGACACUCGUCAUCAAAGAGGCCCAGAAUGAGCCAGGUGGUGCGGGUCCUCGAUAGCUUAGCGGAUAUUGACCUAACAAACGGUGUCCAGCCAGGGCAAAGCGAGCUCUUCAACGUGGCAAACACCGCGGAUAUCAGGAUGUUCCAGCAGAUGGUGCAGGGCAACCAGGACGACAGUUCCGCCUUCAGCCAAUAUAGCUGGAUCAGUCGCAGUAGGGCCGACGCCGAAGCGACCUCCUCAAACUCCCGGAUCUUGUGAUCAUCUUUGUUUCUGUGCUCCACGUGUACGUAGCCAUUCUUCUCGACCCACUGAUUCGGCCGGGCUGUGUCGACCAUCGAAAAAAGUCUGGUGUAAUUCUUGCCUUGUUACGAUGAUUGCUCGUGUGUAGAUCACACGAGGAAGAUGUACUCUUGUUUGACAAAUUAUUAAGCUAGCUGUUGUUGUGGUUGUUGACUAACUUGUUAGGCUGCCUGCUCCUGUUGCUGUUGCCUAACUGAAAGAGCACAAUGUCUGAACUUGUGUAGUCUUUCCUUUUGUGUUGUUGGCUUGACAAUGAUGUUGAGGCCACAUCUAAGGGAGAAAAGAAAGAGGAUACUGAUGAUGACUUGUUCAAGUCUAUUUGACUGACAACAUAGUCUUGCUUUCUUCCAAUAUAUUACCAGCAUAUGUAUUGUAUGAUUUGCAUG
rnacentral:rRNA from 1 species